UACGUAGGUGGCAAGCGUUAUCCGGAAUUAUUGGGCGUAAAGAGCGCGCAGGUGGUUGAUUAAGUCUGAUGUGAAAGCCCACGGCUUAACCGUGGAGGGUCAUUGGAAACUGGUCGACUUGAGGGCAGGAGAGGGAAGCGGAAUUCCUAGUGUAGCGGUGGAAUGCUCAGAUAUUAGGAAGAACACCAGUGGCGAAGGCGGCUUCCUGGCCUGCACCUGACGCUGAGAGGCGAAAGCUAGGGGAGCGAACGGGCUUAGAUACCCCUGUA
rnacentral:rRNA from 1 species